rnacentral:rRNA from 1 species
GAAUAUUGCACAAUGGGCGCAAGCCUGAUGCAGCCAUGCCGCGUGUAUGAAGAAGGCCUUCGGGUUGUAAAGUACUUUCAGCGGGGAGGAAGGGAGUGAGGUUAAUAACCUCAUUCAUUGACGUUACCCGCAGAAGAAGCACCGGCUAACUCCGUGCCAGCAGCCGCGGUAAUACGGAGGGUGCAAGCGUUAAUCGGAAUUACUGGGCGUAAAGCGCACGCAG